UCCGAGGCAAUGGAGAAAUACACUUGGAGGUUAUUUCAAGCCAAAAGACAACAGAGGUCAUCUUUGUUUAAUUUGCAGGGCUCCAGGUACAGAACAUAAGGGGACAGAUGAAAAGUUUUUCCUCCUAGACAGUUUUAAUAACUACAGGGAAGGCUGGGACUCCUGCUCAGUCCGGAGGCUGCAGCUGAGAUCUUGGAACAUCUGACCUGCUGGCAAAGGUAACAGAAGAAUUGAGAGACUGCCGGGCGAUGAAAUCACUGCCUCUUACGUUGAUGUACUUCAGAGGGGCUGCACCUACAAUUAAAGACUGACACUAAGUUUCUUGUUUUCCUUACCUCUCUAAAUGGCUGCAAACAAGA